rnacentral:rRNA from 1 species
UGCAAGUCGAGCGGAAACGAGUUAUCAGAACCUUCGGGGGACGAUAACGGCGUCGAGCGGCGGACGGGUGAGUAAUGCCUAGGAAAUUGCCCUGAUGUGGGGGAUAACCAUUGGAAACGAUGGCUAAUACCGCAUGAUGCCUACGGGCCAAAGAGGGGGACCUUCGGGCCUCUCGCGUCAGGAUAUGCCUAGGUGGGAUUAGCUAGUUGGUGAGGUAAGGGCUCACCAAGGCGACGAUCCCUAGCUGGUCUGAGAGGAUGAUCAGCCACACUGGAACUGAGACACGGUCCAGACUCCUACGGGAGGCAGCAGUGGGGAAUAUUGCACAAUGGGCGCAAGCCUGAUGCAGCCAUGCCGCGUGUGUGAAGAAGGCCUUCGGGUUGUAAAGCACUUUCAGUCGUGAGGAAGGUAGUGUAGUUAAUAGCUGCAUUAUUUGACGUUAGCGACAGAAGAAGCACCGGCUAACUCCGUGCCAGCAGCCGCGGUAAUACGGAGGGUGCGAGCGUUAAUCGGAAUUACUGGGCGUAAAGCGCAUGCAGGUGGUUUGUUAAGUCAGAUGUGAAAGCCCGGGGCUCAACCUCGGAAUUGCAUUUGAAACUGGCAGACUAGAGUACUGUAGAGGGGGGUAGAAUUUCAGGUGUAGCGGUGAAAUGCGUAGAGAUCUGAAGGAAUACCGGUGGCGAAGGCGGCCCCCUGGACAGAUACUGACACUCAGAUGCGAAAGCGUGGGGAGCAAACAGGAUUAGAUACCCUGGUAGUCCACGCCGUAAACGAUGUCUACUUGGAGGUUGUGGCCUUGAGCCGUGGCUUUCGGAGCUAACGCGUUAAGUAGACCGCCUGGGGAGUACGGUCGCAAGAUUAAAACUCAAAUGAAUUGACGGGGGCCCGCACAAGCGGUGGAGCAUGUGGUUUAAUUCGAUGCAACGCGAAGAACCUUACCUACUCUUGACAUCCAGAGAACUUUCCAGAGAUGGAUUGGUGCCUUCGGGAACUCUGAGACAGGUGCUGCAUGGCUGUCGUCAGCUCGUGUUGUGAAAUGUUGGGUUAAGUCCCGCAACGAGCGCAACCCUUAUCCUUGUUUGCCAGCGAGUAAUGUCGGGAACUCCAGGGAGACUGCCGGUGAUAAACCGGAGGAAGGUGGGGACGACGUCAAGUCAUCAUGGCCCUUACGAGUAGGGCUACACACGUGCUACAAUGGCGCAUACAGAGGGCGGCCAACUUGCGAAAGUGAGCGAAUCCCAAAAAGUGCGUCGUAGUCCGGAUUGGAGUCUGCAACUCGACUCCAUGAAGUCGGAAUCGCUAGUAAUCGUGGAUCAGAAUGCCACGGUGAAUACGUUCCCGGGCCUUGUACACACCGCCCGUCACACCAUGGGAGUGGGCUGCAAAAGAAGUAGGUAGUUUAACCUUCGGGGGGACGCUU